GGAGCUUUAGCUCAAUUUGGUUAGAGCCCCCGACUCAUAAUCGGUUGGUUGUAGGUUCGAGUCCUACAAGCUCCACCA
rnacentral:tRNA from 1 species